rnacentral:snRNA from 1 species
GUACUUGCUUCGGCAGCAUAUNCACUAAAAUUGAAAUGAUACAGAGAAGAUUAGCAUGUCUCCCGUGCAAGGAUGACACGUAAAUUCGUGAAGCAUUCCAUAUUUUA